CCUACGGGUGGCAGCAGUGAGGAAUAUUGGUCAAUGGGCGGAAGCCUGAACCAGCCAAGUCGCGUGAGGGAAUAAGGCCCUACGGGUCGUAAACCUCUUUUGCCGGGGAGCAAGGGCGGGGUCGUGUCCCGGCCCGGAGAGUACCCGGAGAAAAAGCAUCGGCAAACUCCGUGCCGGCCGCCGCGGUAAUAGGUGGGAUGCGAGCGUUAUCGGGAUUGAUUGGGUUUAAAGGGUGCGAGGGCGGGCUUUUAAGUCAGCGGUAAAAAGUCGGGGCUCAACCCCGUCCGGCCGUUGAAACUGGGGACCUGGAGUGGGCGAGAAGAAGGCGGAAUGCGUGGUGUAGCGGUGAAAUGCAUAGAUAUCACGCAGAACCCCGAUUGCGAAGGCAGCCUUCCGGCGCCCUACUGACGCUGAGGCACGAAAGUGCGGGGAUCGAACAGGAUUAGAUACCCCUGUAGUC
rnacentral:rRNA from 1 species